rnacentral:rRNA from 1 species
CCUACGGGAGGCAGCAGCGGGGAUAUUGGACNAUGGGGGCAACCNCGAUCCAGCCAUGCCGCGUGAGUGAUGAAGGCCCUAGGGUUGUAAAGCUCUUUUGUGCGGGAAGAUNAUGACGGUACCGCAAGAAUAAGCCCCGGCUAACUUCGUGCCAGCAGCCGCGGUUAUACGAAGGGGGCUAGCGUUGCUCGGAAUCACUGGGCGUAAAGGGUGCGUAGGCGGGUCUUUAAGUCAGGGGUGAAAUCCUGGAGCUCAACUCCAGAACUGCCUUUGAUACUGAGGAUCUUGAGUUCGGGAGAGGUGAGUGGAACUGCGAGUGUAGAGGUGAAAUUCGUAGAUAUUCGCAAGAACACCAGUGGCGAAGGCGGCUCACUGGCCCGAUACUGACGCUGAGGCACGAAAGCGUGGGGAGCAAACAGGAUUAGAUACCCUGGUAGUCCACGCCGUUAACGAUGAAUGCCAGCCGUUAGUGGGUUUANNNAUAGUGGCGCGUAACGNUUAAGCAUUCCGCCUGGGGAGUNCGGUNGAAGAAUUCAAACUCAAAGGAAUUGACGG